UACGUAGGUGGCAAGCGUUGUCCGGAAUUAUUGGGCGUAAAGCGCGCGCAGGUGGUUUCUUAAGUCUGAUGUGAAAGCCCCCGGCUCAACUGGGGAGGGUCACUCGAUACUGAUCGACUUGAAGGCAGGAGAGGGAAGCGGAAUUCCCGGUGUAGUGGUGAAAUGCGUAGAUAUCGGGAGGAACACCAGUGGCGAAGGCGGCUUCCUGGCCUGUUCUUGACGCUGAGGCGCGAAAGCUAGGGGAGCAAACGGG
rnacentral:rRNA from 1 species